rnacentral:lncRNA from 1 species
CUUCUGUAGGGUAUUUUUAUUCUCUCUUCAGCCCUUUUUUUUUUUAAUUUUCUUUCCCUGAGCACCGACCGCCACAAAAAAGAAAUUUCCAGACGCGCUUGGACCGUUAGCCGCUCGUGCCCCUCCACCAUCCGAAAAGGAUAUCUGUGCCCCCCCGCUCUCUCUCUCUCUCUCUUGGUGAGUCAGUUACCUUCGAGAUUUUUUACGGCGAAUCUGAAGUUCGAAAUUAGGAGAGGUUUGGGGGGGGAUCAGGUCCGGAUGCCAUCCACGAAUUGCCGACAAUUGGUGUCCACGGACGCUCUAAAAUACUAAAAUUCGGCAGGCGCCCAACCCGCGUGGUAUUGGAUGAUUGAGACCUGAAAAUUAGAUACCUGCUCACAGAUAGGACGACGUGGGCGAGUUUAUGCCCAUCGAAGUCCAACCCAACAAAAACAAAAAUCUAAAAGAGAAAUUCUUUGCACACCACUAGCGAU